GCGCCGGUGAUGUAAGGCGUAGCAUCGCUGUCCGGGAAGCAGAAGGUGCGGGUUCAACUCCCGCCUGGCGCU
rnacentral:tRNA from 1 species